AUCCAACUAACGAGUCCCAAAUAGGACGAAACGCGCGUCCUGGAU
rfam:Schistosoma mansoni strain Puerto Rico chromosome 1, complete genome